GAUGAACGCUGGCGGCGUGCCUAAUACAUGCAAGUCGAGCGAACAGACGAGGAGCUUGCUCCUCUGACGUUAGCGGCGGACGGGUGAGUAACACGUGGAUAACCUACCUAUAAGACUGGGAUAACUUCGGGAAACCGGAGCUAAUACCGGGUAAUAUAUUGAACCGCAUGGUUCAAUAGUGAAAGACGGUCUUGCAGUCACUUAUAGAUGGAUCCUCGCCGCAUUAGCUAGUUGGUAAGGUAACGGCUUACCACGGCGGCGAUGUGUGGCCGAGCUGAGAUGGUGAUCGGCCACACUGUAACUGCGACACGGUCCAGUCUCCUACGUGAGCCUGCAGUAGGGAAUCUUCCGCCAUGGGCGGAAGCCUGACGGAACAACGCCGCGUGAGUGAUGAAUUUCUUCCGAUCGUAAAACUCUGUUGUUAGUGAAGAACAAAUGUGUAAGUUACUAUGCGCGUCUUGACGGUACCUAGUCAGAAAGCCACGGCUAACUACGUG
rnacentral:rRNA from 1 species